rnacentral:tRNA from 1 species
CGGGCUGUAGUGUAGUGGUAGCACGAGUCCUUCGGGAGGAUUUAGCCCCGGUUCAAGUCCGGGCAGCCCGA